rnacentral:rRNA from 1 species
CAGGACGAACGCUGGCGGCGUGCCUAACACAUGCAAGUCGAACGGACGAGGGAGCUUGCUCCCCAAGUAGUGGCGGACGGGUGAGUAACACGUGAGCAACCUGCCCUUCGGAGGGGGACAACAGUUGGAAACGACUGCUAAUACCGCAUGACACAGCGGGGAGGCAUCUCCCUGCUGUCAAAGAUUAUAUCGCCGAAGGAUGGGCUCGCGUCUGAUUAGAUAGUUGGUGAGGUAACGGCCCACCAAGUCAACGAUCAGUAGCCGGACUGAGAGGUUGAACGGCCACAUUGGGACUGAGAUACGGCCCAGACUCCUACGGGAGGCAGCAGUGGGGAAUAUUGGGCAAUGGGGGGCAACCCUGACCCAGCAACGCCGCGUGAAGGAAGAAGGCUUUCGGGUUGUAAACUUCUUUGACGAGGGACGAUAGUGACGGUACCUCGAAAACAAGCCACGGCUAACUACGUGCCAGCCGCGGC